GCCUCUACACACCUCAUCAUUGGCCACCCUCCUGGCACGUUCUUCUGGCCCUCUUCUCCGGCGCUCGAGGUGCGGCAGCGGUGGCGGCGCUCCUCCUCACGGGCAUGGCCACAUCUGCCUGUGCUCGGCAGAAGGAGUGGCUGAUGUGAUGGCAGAUGCGUGAGGAGGAGGAGGUCGCGGUCAUGGCGGCGCGACGGAGGUCGUGCCCGUCCGGCGUGCGGCACAAGGCUGCGGCGCUCUUCGUCGAGGCGGAGGUGAGUGGCUGCGGUGAUGGCAGAUGCAUGAGGAGGAGGAUGCCGUGCUCAAGGCGGCGCGAUGGAGUUCGUGCCCGACCGGCACGGCACCAGGCUGCGAGGGAGAAAGAGAGAGGAAAUUGGAAAGUGAGGCCUGACAACAGACGGUAGAGGGACAGAGGGUCACCGGCCGGCGUCGUCCUGUGCCGGCGAGGUCGCUUGCCUGGUUGCCAAGGAGGGAAAGGCGAUGGGACAGGCAUCCGGGGUGGCGGCGGUGGCUGGACUCCAGGACCUGGCCGAGGUGGUUCUUGCCAAAGAAGCAGGCGGCAGCGCAAGAUAUGAGAAAGAAUAAAUAGGACCAAGAAAAUUAGUUGCUCGUAUAUCAUGUGUCGCAGAGAGAAGAACCUGGUUGGAAAAAUUUGUUUGUCCGAACUUGGCAAAGCAGCUUGUCAAGACAGGGCACAUAUUCAGGACAGAAAAGGUUGCGUGUGAUGUGAUCAUUUCAUGGAUAUGAAGCUUUAAAUUGGGCUCGUAUUUGCAGAGCAGAAAUAUAGAGAAUCGACAUCUGAAGUCUGACCUAUGAUCAAACUGAAGGUGCCUAGCAUGUUCUGGGUGCAGGUUCCUUUAUGGUCUACUACUUUACAAGAGAAAACAUUUCUCUCGAAGGAGCUGCUGAUAGGGCUAUCUUAACAACAAACUGGACGGAGUUCUUCACAUUGCAAACAUUGAUGAAGGAAUGAUGUAUGCCUUCACCUUCAGGCGCAAGGCAAAACGCCUCUGCCUUUGUCUAACCGUUCGUUCACACACACACACACACACACACACACACACACACACAACUUGUGUACCAGACUUCAUGUUUAUAAUGCUCUUAUGCUAUCCCCACAUUGCUUCGCCUUUUCUUAUGGAUUACCUCUUAGUAUAGAUAUUAUAGAUCGUCCAUCUGAACUACUAUAAGUAUGAGCACAAAUAGAUAGGCCUGUAUUUCUCUCUUCCUUAAGCUUCUCUACAAUAUGCACAAAAUACAUGGUUCUAAUUGGCCUUUUGCGCCAUUGACGCAACGGGUCAUCUAGUUGGAUUAAUCGACAAAGCAGUAAGCAGUCACGCCUCAACGCGGACAGAGCCCAGCCCCAAAUUUCCUCACUGAAAGCCUGACAAUUUCCCAGAAUCGUCUCCUCCGAAGCCACCGCCGAUGCACCACCGCCUCUCCCAAAUCGCUUCCUCUCUCUCUCCAAUACUACAGAUGAGAACAUGAUGACGACUCGAACACACUAAAAAAGCAGGGAAACGACACGGCCCACCGAUUUUGACCAACACAAACAUCGGUUGGGGUCAGGCCUCCCUUCGAAGAAAAAAUCCCGGAGCUCUCUCAGGCCUCCCUUUCUAGGGAGAUUGUAGUUUCUGGGAGUACUAUUUUACUUCUAAAACAUUAUUAGUCACUUAUGGUCUACACAUCAGAACAAUAGGACAAACUGAAAGAUUAGAAGAUUGUAGUUCUUUGCAUAUUUCUGUCUAUGCAGGACACAUAUCUCCAUCAUUCUCUCACAUAGAAAGAAGAAGAACAUUACAGAGGAGGAAAACAGAUGUUGUCGAUCUCCAUGGAUCCAAGGAUUGAAGGCCUCAAUCAAGAAGGAAAAUAAUGGAGAUUCCAUAUUUAAUUUUUGCCAAUUUCAUCAUGUCUUCUUGUAAUCAACCAAUACUCUAACAAUGAAUGGUUUUAUCCUGUGCGCGUAUGCAUUCAUGGGGAUCACACGAAGAAUUGAUCAAUCUGUACUACAAAGAGGAACAAGAGAAGGAGAGAAGAUACCAGGCCA